rnacentral:rRNA from 1 species
UACGGAGGGGGCUAGCGUUAAUCGGAAUUACUGGGCGUAAAGCGCACGUAGGUGGUUUGUUAAGCUAGCUGUGAAAUCCCCGGGCUCAACCUGAGCACUACAGUUAGAACUGGCAAGCUAGAGUAGAGUAGAAGGGUGUGGAAUUCCAGGUGUAGCGGUGAAAUGCGUAGAUAUCUGGAGGAACAUCAGUGGCGAAGACGACACCCUGAACUCAUACUGACACUGAGGUGCGAAAGCGUGGGAAGCAAACAGG